ACAGCCCACAUUUCUCCGCCGCACACCUUGGCCGCAGGACACUGAGCACUGAGAAGACGAGAGUGCACAUUUUGACAUGAUGAAGAAUUGUGAUCAUUAUUCUUCCUACCUUGAAGAUGAGAUAACUUAGAAUAUAGCUACCAGCAGAAAACAAAAGGACCAGCGGAAUUUUCCAUGAGUCAUGUUGAAAUGGAGGAUUCUCAGCUCCUCCCCAUGUUAACACAGCUGUGCGAAGCUUCUCUGGGGUCUUAGGAAUCAAGCAGGCCCUGAAAGAAUCCAUUCCAGAGGCUUCCAACCUUGCACCUAGUCUUCCACUGAUUCUCAGGAUUGUCUGCCUACCUCUCCACUGCACAGGAGGACCACAGAUUCAGUAAAACUUCACUGAAUCAAAUAAAUGAGGAGAAAGAGCAGCAUGAAAUGCAGAAUCUAUGAAAAGAAACUGGGCCUUAUUACUUUUAAGUGAAGUACCUUCAGCCUAGCUGAGGAAAUGUAUGCGUGUGGAGUGACAAGGUCUACUUGAAGGAUUGGACUUGAAGCUAAUUUGGUCCACCCAUCAAUUGUUCUUGCGCCGUUUUGGAUAACGUCUCAAGGCUCAAUACGGAAGGAAGGUAGCACUGGAGAAAAAAAUGUCGACAGCAUUACAGCAGGAAUCCUGUCCAGUAUUUUGGGUCACUCAAGAGGGAGGGGAAACCCUGAUAAUUCAGGCCAAAAAUAUGAAGCCCAUGAACCUGAAACUACCAUGAAAUUCUGACUGAAAGAAGUCCUACUAUGAAUUAGUAAGGAUUCCUUUUGGACAUCUCACUUCAUGCAGUCUCUGAUCAAGAUAUGCCUUCAAUAAAAUGCCUCGCGAUUUCACUCUUUUGGAGGAAGGUGCGUUUCCAAAAUACAGCUGCGUUCCAUUUCCUAGCGAAAUGAUUUAAGGAAACUCUUCUACCAUUUUUCAGAGGAUAAGCUCUCAUUUUCCCAGUCCACGGGAAAGAAGGUGAAAAAGGCACAUCAGAAACUGAAAGGACUUGAAUGGAACUGAUUUGGAAAAGAAAGACUGACACUUCAGCAUGACUUGCUACACAUAAUAUUUGCCUGAAAUUAAGAUCGAAAAGUGAUAAGGAAAUUCUCAAGACUAAAGUCGAAGAGUCUGGAAGCCAUGUAUUUCAACACAUCUGGUGGAGAUGAAAUUCAAGGCCUGGGCAGCGUGCUCAGAACCUCCACCAAGGGCUGGCUCUCUCUCUCGUGGUAGCUCUGGCUAUGGCGUGGAUAUGCGUCCCACGGUUCCCGGUGUGCCGCCCCUGGCAUUAGGGAUGCCCUGCAUCGAUCCUUUCACUUACAUUGAGGUGCAUGGUCUCUUAGUCACCGAGAAGCCAGCAAACAACCCCAGUGUGUCUGCCUGGAUGAGAAGGGCUGAUGACCUGGAAAGAAUGAGACUCCCAGCGCUACCAAGGCUGCUGAGAACCUGGACAUCCAAAUGGAGAUGGAGGCCCACACAGAAGUGGUAAGGACACCAUGAGGAACCAAGGAAUAGGAAGGGGAGGGUGGAGGUCGGGGAUGUACAUAGAAUCUGGCCAGAAGGAAAUGUCUCGGUGAGGCUGGAAAAUGCUGGGGCUUAGAGGAAAUACUGGAGCGGGUGGGGUGUGGACCAGGACUGCCUGAGUUGUAGCAGGUGCCUGACACAUAAGAGUUAACGGGUGGUCCAGGAGGUCAGCCCUAGCAGAGUGUCUGGGCACAGUUCUGUAUGUCUGCGCGACUUCCAUCUCCAAGUGAUCUGGAUACACAAGAGUUUGUUUCUGUGAAAUGUGUUAUGGAGGAUGCUGAGCAACCACCAAGUCCAUACUUCUAAGCAGAGGACUGGCUGACAGCAGGUUAGAAAUAAGACAGAACCGAAAAGGCCAAGAGAAAGGUCAUGUACUAGAAGCCAUUAGCAAGCAAAGUCAAGACCCUCUUGAUGGAAGGAUUUUUGACAAUCAGAUAGCAAACCACCACUCUGAGACUGGCGGGCAGAGUUCAGUUGUGAGACAGGAGACUGUACUGAUUAUUCUUUGAGGCUUUUCCCUUGUGGUUUUAUAAAAUAUGAAAAUAACAUCUAAAUCACGUCAUUUAAAAAAUGACGUGUGUCUUUUCAUAACAACAAGCUCCUCUCAGUUCUGCUCUUGUUUUGCCUUUGUUUAACCAAACACAAUGUCAAACCUCGUCUGGAAAGUUACGUUAUCAGACAGGAGGCAAUGCGUGUGCCCACGGUUCAGAGCUGCCUUUGCCAAUUACAGUGACGGAUGACGUGAGGACUGCAGGACUGUCACACUAUCAGGAAAGGCAAAGGGACCCCAGCCUGUAUCCACUGUUUCACCAGAAAAAAAAAAAGUUACUGUAAAGAUACAGACUGAGGGAUCAAAGUUUUAAAACUGCUUAAUAUAAGACUUGGAAAACCAUGUGGGCUGGUCACAUGGAAAAAUAAUAGUAGCUGUAAUUCACGUAUGUUUAUUUACUGUUGUCCAUACAGUAGGCAGUGGGCAAAUAUUUAUGGGAAUGUGUGAACACGUGAAAGCUACAGUCAUCAUGGAAGUGUACUAUAAACCAAACACCAUGCUUUCCUAAAGUUUUCAAGAAAGAACCACCUGGGACCUGACUCAGAGCUGAUGCAGAACUGAUUUGGCACAUGCCAUUUAGACUCAAAAAGGCCACCCUAAGAGCACUCUUCCACUUGGAGUAGAACUAUUAGAAAUCACACUAGCUAACUUUCAUUGGGUUCUUAUGAUGAGUGGGACCGGGGGCUGAAGGGCACUGGCUUCUCUCAGUUAAUCCCUACAGCAACCGUGCAGUUCAGGUGCUAUUAAGAUUCCUUUUUAUGGACAAGGAGACUGAGGAUUAAAGCGGUGACAUCACUGGCCCAGGGUCACAGAGUGAGGAAGCAGCAGGGCUGGCUUUCAAAUAGAGCAUGUGUGUCUCCAAAAACCACCGCUUUCUUCCUUAAGGUACAAUGAAAAGAGGGCCUGGUUGAGAAAACAGGCUGCUCACCUCUGCUCACCCACAGCGACAACAGAAAACAAGGACCUCAAAGAACUGUCCCUUAAGACUAUUUGGAGACCUCUGAUGCUCAGUUUAGCAGAAGGAGAGUGGUUAUGCAAUAUAUUUCUGACUUUAAUACUUUCUCCACAAUACCUUCAGCAUCCUGGGAAGAAAGACACUAUGAAAAGCAAAUAAACAGUCACAUAAGUAAAGGGCCACAUUUCCCUAUGGCCAAAGCAACACCCUGGUUUUCUCUUGGCUGUUUUCUAGGGUUGAUUCACCCUUUGAGGCUGGUCUGAUGCCACCUGGUGAAUGACUGUCUCCAUUCACUGGUGAACGGCCCUUUGCAUGGUCAUGAAUGGAAGGUUACAUGUAAAUUGUGGCCUGCCUUUUCACCAAGGACUAACUGAACUCUCAAAUGUUUGAGCUGUAGGUCAUCUCAGAGGUUUGACAAAUUUGUUUGACAAAUUCAACACUGUGGAAAAGGAGACGCGGCAUGCUCACAGUCACAUGACAGGGAAGGAGUAGAUGGAGACUUAGGACUAAGAGGAGUUGGUGUACCCAGCACAGAACAGUGUUUGGUACCAAUCAUGCUGGGGAUCUGUGACCAGAUUUGGUGUUCCGAAUGGUUCCUGGGAACCAGAUGUUCUGAUUCUUUCUACUCCGGUUCAGUCAUGCUCACACAGAGCUGGCACGAUGGGCUGGGACUAGCCAAGGCAGGCGUGGAUGCUGCACCUCUGGCUCUGAGAGACUUCCAAUUCCAAUAUGAACAAGCAUGGGUUUAACCACCUCUUGUUCCAAGGGCCCAGUUAAGAAUAAAUUCCAUGGAGUGGCUGGGCAUGGGUAUCAGCACAGGAUACCACAGCUCACACACGGGUGCUGGCCUUCACCCUGCUCUAAGAUGUAGCCCUUCAAGGCACAUAUUUUGGAGUCAGACAGACCAAGGUUGGACCGAGGUUGGAAUAUUAUCUGCCAUUUUGCCCUGGUGCCAUCUGGGGCAAGUUACUGACCCUCUCUCAACUCAGACGCAUUCUCUGUAAAAUGGAGGUGGUAGCCCCGUCCAUCUAUACCCAGUGGAGCUGUGUUACAAUCAGACAAGACAAUGCAUAGAGAGCUCUUGGGGUUUUGGCCCAAGAGUGUAAAAAUCAACACACGUUCACUGUCCCUGCUACUACUACUUCUACUCAGCAGAGUCUUUUAAAGUAUCUUCUAAGACGUAGGUUACAUGGUGAAUAUUUAAAAAAAAAAUAUGGAGUCGAAAAUUAACAUUCUAAUACAGGCACUGCUGGGUGAAGGAGGAACGCAGUCUGGCAAAAUCUCACCCGUGUGAAUGGGUCACAGAGAAAUCCCCAGAGCAGAUAUAAACAUUGAUGAUUCCUUCUUUUCUGUGGGGCCUUUACACUCUUACAGACUCUUACCUAUUAACAUGGUCUCUUCUAACCACAGAAGACAGAAAGACACGUAAGUAAAAGAAAGACACCACACCUGAAAGCCGUAUCUCUUUUCUACGCCAUUUCCGGCUCACGCUUCCUAUCGCAAGAACGCCUGGUGUUUCUCAUUUGUUUUUUCAUGUUAUUUCUUCAAACGUCCUGAGGCAGAGAAUCAGCACCAGCGCUAAUCAUUACCAAACACAGACUCACUCACUUGCCUGCUCUGUUCGGCUCAGCGGUGGGAGUGGUCACAGGCCUUUGUCAGAAAGCUGAUCUCCUUAGUGGUGAUGUGAACGUGCUUAGGGAAGUGUUUAUAGGGCUUCUCACAAGACAAGAAUGGCUCUGAACAGGGGCAUCAGGGAACCAAAAUGACCGAGGAGGAAGGAGAGAAAGCUUGGCCAGGAAACAAGGGCUGUGACUUCAGGGCGUAAAGCCAGUGUUGACAGGCCUGCCUGAUGGCCGUUCAUGUUCAGGACCACCAUGGCACUUAUUAUCAUGAAAAGGAGCUGAGAAAGCCUGAGAUUGGCAGGGAACACCAUGGAAGAAAGCGGAUGUGGGAGUCACGGUCAUUGCAGCCGGAUGGGGCAUUGGGCCAUCCUUCCAGCCCAGUUGCCCCCAACACCCUGAGCCUUUGCAAAGCUACAAAGGUCUGAGACUGCGGGAGAAAAGGAACUAAGAUUCACAUGUCAACUCUUGGAACACACUUGAAGACUCCUAUCAAUACUAUAUCCAAGUAGGUGGCCCUGCAUAUGCCUCGCAAGGGAGGUGGCAGGGACAGGCAAAGAAGAGGCAGUGAGGGGUGCUCACGAGCCCCACACUUCCCAUCACCUCCAAGGAUUACGAGGUAUGGGGCUCUCCACUUCACCUCAAAAUGUGACAACUUCAUAUUAGAGGAGGGGAAUACGAUGUAACAUAAAAUAUAGCAGCAUAUGAAAUUAGCUACGGAAGUUGUGAAACCCAGAUUGGGGUGGAUGCUUUUUGUUCUACAGGAGUACAAAUAUUACAGUUUCUCUCCCCACCAAGACUGAAACAAAAACCAAGAAAAUGUGCACAAGCUGUAGGCAGUGAAUUCUAGCAUGGCCACAUCCAGUGGUGUCCUCGGGGAUGUGAGACAUGUUAUGUCCUCAGGCCCUGAUACCCCGAACACGCCUUCUGACCCCCCAUUCCCCACCACACUGCCUACUUUUGUAAGGCUUCUUUUCCCUUUCAAGGUUAGACGUGGUGAUGCGUUGUAACCUGACUUCAGCAAAAUCACAGUAUUGGCAUUUUUGAGGAAAGAGGUGAAGAUGGUACCAGGACCCACACUCUGUGCUUGCCACAGAAGUGUUUAUGAAGGCAGUCUGGAAGAUGGGGAGGGUAGCAGGUGAGGUUUUGGUUCUAGCAUCUUUGAUUCUCAGCUGUUCCAAAGAUGAGCACAGAAGAGUCUGAGUAAGUAGGUGAUGGAAAAGUUACGGCUGGUGGGAACAGGGACCCAAGUUUCUUGGUGCUUUGAAGAUAGAUUGUGACUGAAGGCCCACACUGGAGGGAUCAAGGCUACCUGGAGAUGUCAUUCUGCUGAAAGAUGACAGUGCUCGUGAAGGCCCACUCAUGACUAAAGCUACAGUCAUAGGCAGCCAGGCACAGACAUGGGAAGCUAAAGUCACCUUUGUGAAUAUUUCCAUGGAAAAGCAAUCCAGGUGGGCUGUCUUUGGACUGUCAUGUACCCAACCGAUGUCCGUCCCUUGGGCAUCCUCCUCCUCCCAAAGAACUAGUCUAAGUAUCAUUCAGUCAUUUAAAAGACACCAGGGCAGAGUCCAUUUAACUUCUUCUUCCAGUCUUCCUGUGCCUGCCUGUCUGGUCCUUCCUCCAUCACCUUUGCAUGAAAGGAACAUUUUUACUUGCCAUCAUGUCAACUAUCUUGCACUGAAAAAUUUACAACUUUGCGGGGAAAGUAGUUCAUGUAAUGAAUUUGCUUUUGGGUGGAUUUUCAUGCCACCCCAGAACUGAAAUAUGCAUACCUAUCUGACCCUAGAAGCAGAGAAAUAUAUCUCAGCAAGAGGGAAAAAGGCGAUCUUAACCAUCAUUGAAUUAGAUCCUCGUCCUCCAACUGUAAAAUGCUCUACUGGGAGUUCAGAGAAGACCAAGUUACUAUCAAUGUGUACUGUUCAAGACCUUUGUGGCUUUCCUUGUCUCCUCCUCCUGCUUAACUUUUGUAAAGAAAAGGCUGGUACCACUAUGAAAGGACGAGAUGAGAAGAAAUAAGAAGCAGCUAAAUGUAAAUGGCUCACAACAUGGAAGAUUAGGCAUGUGAAGUGGCUAAAAUUAUGUUCGACGGUUUUCUGUGAAUCUAAAUUAUUCCUGAACUACUCUGAGAUUUAUUUCAAUGGAAAUCCAAGGAUUGAGACAGAAGAGUGUGGCAGUUAGGAACUUAAUUUUGGAAUCAAUCAGACCUGGUCUGACUAGCACUCGCUCUUCGUGAUCUUACGCGAGAUGCUUAUCCAGGUAUGAAACGAUGGUGAGUAAGCAUCUUAAACCGAACACGUCCAAAAACCGAAGUCCUGAUCUUCCUACCAUCUUCAUUUCCAUCAUUGGAAAGUCUAUCCUUCCACUCAUCCACUGCUCAAAAUUUGGAGUCAUCCUAACUCCCUUCUUUCUCUUGUUAUCCUGUAUCUGAACUCGGAGCAAAUUCUUCAGCACUAACCUUAAAAACAAAUCUUAAUCCUACCAUUUCUCACCAUUUCCACUGAACACUCUCAUCUGAGCCAGUAUCUUCCCUCCACUGGCUUCUUAAUGGUCUCCCUGCUUUGGCCUUUAUUCCUCCUGUAGCUUCCCCUAAAUUCAGAAGCCAGAGUCAUUCUUUUAAAACAAAUUCAUGCUCCUACUCAACUCUCCCUCCCCACAAUGGCUUCCCAGUCAGUAAGUAUAAGCAAAAAUCCCUCCAACGGUCCUUUUCUCUCCCCCUGCCAUGAUCAAAUUCCAUGUUCCUCCUCAUCAAGUCCAUCUCUAAUUUCAUAUCCCACCGCUCACACCCCCUCUCUUCCGGCCACACUGGCCUUCCUUGCUAUGGCCAAGAUAUGCCUGGCAUACUCCUGUCUCCAGGUCUUAACCUGAAAUACUCUUCUCCUGGGUAUCCACAUGGCUUAUUUUUAUAUUUUCCCACAUCUCUGCUCACAUGUCACCUUCUUAUUGGAGACCUGCAUGACCUUAAAACUACAGUUCCCAUCUCCUCUUCCACGCUAUUUUCUCUCUAAUUUGUUUUAAUCUAUGGCACCACUUUUUCCCCCACAAUAUAUAUUUAACCUCUUUUGUUUUGUUUUUUAUUUAUAGGUUAUCUCCCCCUCCCCACUAGAAUGUAAGCUUGAUGAGUUCAAGGAUUUUUGUCUGUUUUGUUCACUGCUAUCUCCCCAGUGCUCAGAGCAGUGCCUGGCUUACAGAAAACACGCGAAUCCUUUUUGGAACACACAAAUGAAUGCAUGAAUGAAUUGUAUCUAAUAGAGCCGAGGGCCACUUAUCUCACAAGAGAUUUUAAGGAUUAAGCAAACAUUCGACACAAUGCUCAGUUCAUUGUAAGGACCAAAUAAAUAGCUCUUGCUCUCGCCUAUCUCCUGCGUCCAUUCAGUCCAAAACUGGUUAAACACUCUUGUGGUUUAAUUUUUAAUUCAUAGUUAGAGAACUAAAUACCGCACAAGGGACAUCUAAGAAGGAGGUUAUCUGAGCAUGUGAUGUAAGAUAGCAGAUGGCAAAUGGUAGAAGCUGGAAACUCAGAACACCAUGCUGUCCUGCAAAGUCAAGUCUAACAGUGAAGGUUCGGCUCACAGCCCCUGAGACCACCGUGUACUCUGAGGGUCACAGACUUUUUUUCCCCCAAAGAUGUCACCUGAGAUCAGCACGCUUGCCAAGUGAAAAAAUGUAGAUAUACCGACUGAAAAUAGACUACAAAGAAAUGUAAUGGACAAGAACGGGUUCUACUGAGGCCAGAUACUAUCUCCAUUCUGGCUGGAAACAUCUAAAAGCAAACAAAACAAAACAAAAAAACCUAAAACUUACACAUCUGUUCCAAAAUAAUGGGUCUAAGUUUGAGCCUGAAUUUUUUAGGUUCCCUUUCAUUUCGAAAAAGGCUCUCAAGGUAUAGGGUAUUCAGGACUAUAAAACCAGUGUCAAGCCUGAGGUUUUGUAACUAUAGACUGAAUUCGAUAGAAUUAAAUUAUUGCCACCCUCCUAUACGUUCUCUACAAGCGAGCCACGGCAAACCUCUCUACUAAGUGAGGGGGUUAUUACCUGAAUAAUAGGAUCAGACUAUGUCCAGAAAGCAGAUUUUUUCUUACAGAUGUACUAAUUCACAUCGUGCUGUAAAUGUCCAGGAGAAAACCAGCCCUUUUCAGAGCUCUGGUCUGAGAAUGUUGGGUGACCGGGGCUAAUUUCUGAGUUCCUUUGAAAAUCGUUCAAAAGCAACUGAAGUGUUAAAAGGGGCCUAUUCAAAAAUUCAGACUCCAAAGCUCAACUUCAAUGGCUUUUAAAAAGCAGAGGAGAGCUAAAUUGGUUUCCACUAGAGCAAGAGCCCAUUUUUUGUGUGUGUCACAAGCCAAAAUCAGUAUUACUAGAAGUUCUGAAAGCCCUACCAGAGAGGAAAUGGGAAAGCAUGAAGGUUUGCAGUCAGUUGGGUCUGGAUCGAAGAAUUAUGGAUUGUUAUGAUGGGUGGGAAACUUGCUUAGCCUCCCUUGAACUCAGUUUUCUCACCUGCAUAAUGGACAUAAUAGGGCUCAUUUUUCAGAGAUUAUAUAAGGACUAGCAACAAUGCUUACAAAGCACCAGGCCCAAAGCUUGGCUCACAGAAGAUCCCCAGUAAAUUAGAGGCCUUCUCUUUUUCUUUCUCCACUUCUGGUCAAAUUCAUCUGGCCAGCUGCAGAUGGGCAUUUUUAUGUGCCACAUCAAGACAUAUAAGACAACUGGUCAUUAGGUGGUGACUGGGAUAUAGAGAAACCCACUCAUUCAGGAAACUGAGAUUUCAUUGGUGACUUUAUCUUCUCAUAGCCUAGAAUCACUGGCAAGAUUAUAAUCAGGUAGAAGGCAAAACCUCACCUUUGAUUUGAAAGAGCUUUUAACAUAAUUAGCCCAUUGGUAAUUUAAGGUUCUGUUUACUUCUGGAAGGUGGUGCCCACUCAUCUUAUGGAGAACCAAGUUCUCUUCUAGAGCCCCAGUGUGUAUGCCUACUUUUUUGUAAAAAUUUCUAGUCUUCCAUCAAAUAAAGUUUAAACGUUGGGGGAAAAAAUCCAUAUUUCAUUAGAACUUAGGUCCUACCAUAAAACUUCUGAGGUUGAUGACAAUGUCUUGGGUUCAUUUUGCUUGCCUUUCCUCUACCUUCUCCUGUCUCAAAGCUCUGGUGUCACUUACUAGAGUUUAUGGCCAUCAUUACCGACCCUUUUGAAGAAGGAGAAUUGAGACUGAUUUUCCUUCUUGGGGCCAGGAGAUGCGUCAUCUAAAAAUGUUCUCUGUCCCACCAAUCUCAGAGUUGUGUCUGCCAUCCUGAUCAUAUAUAUAUGUGUGUGUCUGUGUGGCAGGGGGGUUUGAGGUUGCUAAAUUUACAGCAAUUGCCAUCUGCUAAAGCAGGAAAGAUUUGCAAAGUGGAAAAGGAGAGCUAUGGAGGGGUAGAACUUCAGAAACUUUCUUUCCCAGAAGUUCAUGUUCUGAAGAACAAAGUUAAUGCCACACAUCUGAAAAAGCUGAUCACAGCUUCCUCUGAUGGGUUAAAAAAAAAAAAACUGAUGGGAAAAUAACUGACUGUGAAAACCUAGUGAUCUCUAAGACAUAACAAUUUAUCUUCUCCGAGAGGAGGAAGAGAACAAUUUCAAAACCUCUAAGACUUCUCUGAAUUUAAAAAAAGACUGGAACUUAGUAUCAAACAUAUUUGGGAAAUCCUGCAGACUAUAUACCUCAUUAACGCCCAUGAGAAUAUGGAAAGGCAAUUCUGCUAUAAGAAAUUCAUUAAACCCCGAGGGAGAGAUGAUAUCAGCCCCAGGGGACACUUACCAAUGUCUUAAGACAUUAUUGGUUAUCACAACCAAGAGGAUAUGCUACUGGCAUCUAGUGGGUAGAAACUAAGGGUGCUGCCAAACAUCCUGUGAUGCCCAGAACAACAUCCUACAACAAGUAAGUGUCUGGCAAAAUGUCAAUAGUGUCGAGAUUGGGAAAAUCUGCUUCAGACCCAUUUAUAACUCAUGGAACACUUUCUGUACCACUGUCUUGGUCUCUAGUCAGAAACGUGGUCUCCUACUGCCCAAAUAAAAUGCUCACUAGGAUUAAUUAUGCUUUUACAAAAGUACCCCCUCUAAAUUCCUAAAUAUUCAGUUCUGAAACCAAUUCCCAGAUAUAGCUGGACCAUGAUACAUGUGCAAAUUCUCUCAUGGAUGAGGGAAGUGCUGUUUGUUUGAAACAUCCAAUGCAAAGGAGUGUCUGCCUGCCUGCCUGCCUGCCUGCUUGCCUGCCUGCCUAUCUAUCUAUCUAUCUAUCUAUCUAUCUAUCUAUCUAUCUACCUACCUAUCUAUCUAUCUACCUAUCUACCUAUCUAUUGGUCUGUCUAUCUAUCUCUAUACUAUCAGUGCUAUCAGAACAAUCCAAAAGUAUGAACCUGUUGCAGUAGUCUUUGUUUUCUUAGAAAUUCCCAUCCUCAUUUAAGCCUUUCUUUCCAAAGUCGGUCCCUCCCGCCAAAGUCACCAUGCAGAAUGUCUACGGACCACACUGGGCACAUGUAUACACACUAACAACUUCUCCUCCAGGCUCCAAAAAAAGACUGAGUGAUGCUGCUUGUUGAUUUGCAAAUUCAGAGUCUGUUUAGACAACUUUGAAGCCUCACAUUUGUAGGUCAUCCUUGAGAAUCUCUGACUGACCUUGCUGGGUUCUUAGGAUUUCACAUACUAUUUGAUGGCAAAUGCAAAUCUCCAGAGAGCAGUGUUUUCUGACAGCAAACCAGUGUCCUUCAACGGGGCUUGCCAUUGUUACUUCAGCUUUGAUUUCUGGCUGUGAGUCCUCCCUCUUCUGUGGGGGCCGUGCUGUGCAUCAUAGGACGCUUAGCACCAUCCCUGGCUGCGCUUCACUAGAUGCCAAUAGUACCCCUCAAACCCGUUUGUGACAACCAGUGAUGACUCCAGACAUUGCCCAAUGUCCACUGGUGGAUACAAAUCAGCCCCAAUUGAGAACCACUGAAUUAUCCCAAGGUUUCCAGAAAGUCCUUCAACAAGCUCUCAAAACUGAUGGUUUUAAUGGAUUUGAUGAGGUGGGCAAAGCACACAGACCUUUUUUGUGGAUGGGGGUGGUAAAGGGCCCACAAGAAAUCAACCUAACGAGGUCAGGAUCCUAGGCUUAGGGUUGGGAUAUCCUGGUCUCUGGAGAACAUGACGUGUACAACGUAAAAUCAAUUCCCAUGCACAGCAAUGAAGAUGGCCACUACCAUGAAACAGACAGGCUCUUCCGGAGGCAGCACUGCCUCCCUGACAUCACAGCCGUGACCUGCCCCUGCUACGGGGUUCCCAGAUACUUCCCAUCUGAUUAAGAGAAAACCAACGAGAAGGAAACCAUGAUUUCACUAAGAAAGGACAAACUGCAAUGCAGGAAUAGGGCUCAGUGACUACAAAAGCAGCCUUCCUGGAACUUCUCCUUCAAAGAGGAAAUGAUCCCUUGGAAUUCAAGCUUCUACAAGGUGGCUACCUGGUGUUUUCCAUUUUUGCCUUCUUCUAAAAAGCAUCAAUCCAGCCUUGCCCUUCCAAUCCAGAGAACACAUAAACAUUCUUUCUCCUUAACUGAACUUACUGCCACACUGAACUUGAACUCUGAGAUAUACAAGAGGAGAGUUUGUUUUAACAGCUGCUUUUACAUAGAGACCCUGGAGUUAUUUCUCUCAAGACAGCUGGUUCUGAAAGCCUCUUUUCACUGUCCUAUUUUUUCCAUGCCCAGCUGUCAGGGAACACCCACUGAAGUGUUCCAAAACAAAGGCACAAAACAGAGAAGGAUAAGAGGGUGGUAUUUAUUGCAUGCAAGAGCACCCUACAUAGGAAGCCCUUACAUGCUGAUGUGUGGUUUUUCUCCCCAGUUUAUUUUUAUAAAUUUAUUGAUUUAUUGGCUAGUUGAAUAUUAAAUGCCAAUUGCCUGAGGUUGCCCUGUCCAAUACGGUAGUCGCCAGCCACAGGUGGCUGUUUAGAUUUAAUUAAAUACAGUUUAAAAUGCAGUACCCCUGUUACACUGAGCCACAUUAGAAGUGCUUAAUGUUAGCCAUCUGUGGCUAAGGGCUUCUAUACUGGACAGCAAAGAUAGAGAAUAUUUCCCAAAUUCCCAAGUUAUUGGACUGCUUUGGCCAAGGCUUACCCUCUUUCCAGUAGGAUACAGGGAAUGCAGAUCUGGCCAAGAAUGAUGGCUUUGUAGGUUCAGCCUACAUUGAUUGUUUCCCAUAAUACUUCCUGUAUACUUCUUUUCUUGGCUGCCCAAUUUCUAUCUUAUAAAUUUUUGAAAAAGGGAUGUUGUGGUGAUUAAAACAAUCUAGGAAAAGUGAUCCCACUUUAGAGGACACAAAAACAGCAAGAAGCAAGGAUGGUGGUGUGGUGAUCCACACACUUCAGAUCUAUUUAUUGGUACCCAUUAAACAGCACGGACCCUCAGCCACAACUUCCCACACUUGUGUGAAGGCUGAGGAUCCCGGUGGUGGGCACUGGGGCAGGGAGAGGCAGAAAGCCAGGCCCUCCACUCAUCCCGGCUCUCAGACCACUGAAUUCAUGUCUGGGUGCUAAUGUAAAGGUGAAUAGAAGCAUAUUUUCUGAUAGGAGGCUUUUAAAGGAUCCACUUUAUCAGCCUGCAGCAUUUAUCACUGAGAACGACUGGGCAACUGCACAUUUAAAAGGAAAGACAUGAUCAAUAAUUUAUAUUUAUUGACUAAAGAUCAUUAGCCACCAUGAAUAUAUAUAUGUAUAUAUGUGUGUGUGUAUAUAUAAAAUGCUGUUGGGAUGGAGAUACAUAUAUAUACACACACAUAUACAAAUAGAUAGAUAGAUAGAUAGGUAGAUAUAUCUCCAUCCUAAAAGCAAUUUGUAUUUUUAUUUUCAUGGCUGUAGUAAGGCUGUCAGGAAAAAACGUCAGUUCAUUACAUGUUCAGUUUUGUUUGUUUAACACCAAAGUUUCUCUUUCUCCACUAGAAUGAAUAGCUCUGACUUGUUCAUUGCUGUAUCCUUAGCAUUCAGAAGACCCUGGCCCCACAGUAGACAAAUAAAAAGUAUUAGCUGAAAAAUGAAUGCCUUUUUGUUUUAAAGGAACAACCCAGAAUCUUUUACUCCCUCACCAUAAGAUAAAUCUUCCUCAACAGCCUUUAAUAAUCAGGAUUCCCUCCCAGCCAAUUAGACGUGGACGCAGCCUCCACCUCCCAAUCCACAUUCCGGAGUUUCCAUUCCCGUCCAUUCCAGAAGGGCAACUCGCUGACCUGAGUCAGGGAGGGAACCUACACUCCUUUUCAGGGUCAAAAGGCCCUCCUACCCCUCACCCCGCUCCUUGCCCUUGGACUUUUUAAAAUGGCAAAAAGAGAAAUCUGUCAAGCUAUCUUGAAAUAUCAGCUAUCAGAAGGCAGGAACAGAGUCUCUGAUAGGCAUACAAUCACUGGAAAUACAGAAAAGAAAAAAGUCUAGCUAAGUUUUAUCUUCAAUGAAACAGAUGCAGGCCAGUGUUUUGCUGUUUUUGAGCACAUUUAAGAUGAGCGGUUUAUGGAGUCUCCCUCUACCCUGAGCUCACUGCUGUAAUUUCACAUGUCAUGUUUUCCUUAAAAAAAAACCUUAUUCGUUAUACUCGAUAUUGACAGAGCCAACUAACAUGCUUCUUACUUCUUUUUUAAAAGAUACCAGCAGUAUGUUUAAGACAUCUUCAUUACUAAAAAAGAAUCUUAUAUACAUAUAAAAAUGCAUAUUCAUUUAAUGUGACAGUCCUUCUGGUCAAAAUCUUGAUAUCACCCUCCUAAUUUGGCUAUUAGUGUAUCUUUAAAAUGAAAGGGAGAGACGUUUUGCCAUUCCUUAAAUAUAACUAGCAUGAGGCGUUCCUAGCUGCUGGUCAUGGGAAUUUACUGAUAAUGUUAUAAAUUUGGAUUUUGUUGUUGUUGUUGCUGGAGUCAAAUGGACAAUGUCAAUAUUAGCUAAACAACGUUGAGGUUAGAUGGAGUUUGAGUUUUCAGCAUGUCCUUUUAUUGAAUAGAAACAGGAGUUUAAAAAAUUUAUUCUGAACAUGGGCUGUUUCUUUCUACCCAAAUAAACUGGAUUAAUACGGUCAGUAUACUGACACUGAAGUCUUAUCACUAAAGUGGAUUAUCACAUAGUCAAAAGGAUUCAUAAAGAACACCUCUCUCAUGGGGUAACAUGGGGGCUAAAUGUGACACGUAUUUGCUUAACUGGGCUUAACUGGGCUUGGUAUGUAGUAAAUACUCCGUAAAGGUUAGCUAGCAUCAUUUGCUUUGUAGAUGUUAUCUUAUUCAGCACCUUAGGAAAAAAAGCCUCAAACUCACACAGGGACUCCCUUUUUUGGCCCUUUCACUUUCAAUUACCCUGAAAAACUACAGUGCAAAAUGGAGGCUCAGUAGGGGAAUGUGGAACCAGGAGAGGUCUGAGGUCAUCUUCACCAUUUAUCAUUUUUCUGAAAAGUUCAAGUUCGUUGUUACAUUUUCUUUAUUUUUCUUUAAUAAGAAAUGCCUUCUGACAUGUAUUGCAGGUGAACAAAUAACAAGGUUGACAAAUGUUGUAAGUUUUUUUUUUUUUACAGUUAUUUGAACACAAAGAAUAAGGUAUGAUCAAAUUGAUGCACAUUAGGUGAGCUUUUUCCUGUACCGACCGCCUGUUACAUGUUCAGAACCAUUUCUCCUAACCACUUGUUCUGUCUUCCGGCUACGCCCCAUCAUUCUCUACAAAUUCAGUACAUGGAGCAUUCAUAUUUCAGAGCUGAGACUCAAUCAAUCAGGACAACAGUAUUAGAAAAGAAAAAAAAAACAACAAAAUGUUAAGCCUCAUAUAUUUUUGUUUAUAUCACUAAGCAUCGUUUCCAAUUCAGAAAUAUUUCUUAAAGUAUCCCUUUCAGAUAUACAUUUUUUACAACUCUCCAAUUACAUAAAGGCUUGACACUUGGCUACUCAGAUUUGGGAGAGGGACGGUACAGGCAGGAGAGGAUUUACAGAAUUAAAGUGUGUCUUUUUAAAACCGAAAGAAACAUAUACAUGCAUUUCUAAGCACACAGCCUAUUUGCCUUUACAGUCUGCUAAAAAACAGUGAUUUUUAAACAUUGUAUAUAAAAUUAAAUAACAUGGAAAAAAAUAAAUAUGUUUUAUUAUAUAAACACAUAGAAAUAUGUACUACUCCAAAUAUUCAGAUAAUACUAGGCUUGGCGGCUUAAAACUGUAUUCGGAAAGUGUGGUAGUGAUAUUUACAAUCUUUUUGCUAGAGAUAGAUGGGGUAAGGAGGUAAAAUACUGAUGUCAGACAUUUUCUCUUCCUGCCUACAGAAGCUGCAAACUUUAAUAUGAAAAUGAGGUAGACACAAAUUCGUAAGUUGACCAGGCAGAAACAAAAGCACGUUUCCUUCGUGAGCUCAUAAAUUCUCAUUAUUUGGGUCGACAAGCAUUAUUCCAAAGCACCUAAAGCAAGACUCAGAGAAUGCUUUCAGGUUUGUCAUGAAAAACUCACACAAGCCAUUUCUCCUAAGGAGAACCAAAAUCUCCAAGAUGAUCAGCAAGUACGAUGUGGCCUGGGGCAAAGCACAAAGAACCAUCUUGGAAAACUAUGAGCCGGACCGAGAACAACUACCAAUAAGAAAAACUGAAAGUCUUCAGUUACAUUAAUUAGCAGAACAUAUUUUACAAUUUAAGCAUUUAAGCUCUUAAAAUAUCUGUGGGAGAGGGUGGUGAUUCUGUGUAAAAAAAAGAAAUUAAGCUGUGUUUAGAAACUUUUCAAGAAGGAAUGCUUUGGAAACUAAUACAUAUUAUAUAGUAUGUGUUACAUAUUAUAUACAACAUAUAAUAUAUAAUAUGAUAUGAUUAUGUCAUACACACACACCCUCUGAGGGGUAGGAGAUGUUUUUUGGUCAAUAUUAAAGAAACACAACUUUUUAGAGAGCAACUGGACUCUCUGAUAUGUAACGCCAGUGUGGUGUUGGUGUUGGCUGAAUGAUCAGGGUGAAGUAUCAUGGGAAAAUUUCAUGAAAAAUAAUAUGGAGUAGGUGACUUUGGGAAGUUGGAAUGUCAGAGAUGGUCCUGACAUGCUAAGAUUAUUUCUGAUCUUUUUAAAAAAAAAUAUUCACUUUGGGAGAGUGCCAGGAUUGCAGACAAAAUACUCUAGGUGAACAAUAAAUACAUCCGAAACGCCCUUGAAUCAGAUCCUUACAGCUCAGCUGAAUAGUACCAGUGGAGAUGCCACUCUAUAAAUUCUAGAUUUCUACUUAACACAAAGCACAGUAGUUAUACAGCUAGUGUUCAACCUGCAGACACCAAAACCUUUGACUCUUAGAAGCGUCAACAGGUAUUGGCCGUGUCAGGUCAGUUAAUCUGAUUUUUAGUUUCAGGAAUGGUUAAGACUUUUCCCCAGAACCCUCUGAAAUAAAAAAGCCUUCUGGAUAUGACUUCAUAUAAUAUGAAUUCGGUUUCAGUGCAAUUUAUGUAUUUACAGGAAUGUUUACUCUAUUUACAUCAAACAGCCCUAGCAGCUCCAAGCCAAUGGCACGAUUUAGCCAAAGUAUUGUUUUGACACAGCCGAUUCUUCUGUUUGCCAAGAGCUGCCCCACAAGUUCACAUAAUAUUUACAAGUGGCAAACCUGUCUCACAAUGUCAGCUAAAAGCUGAUCGCAAAGAAGCCUGGGACCGAACUAAAAUGGUCUCAAACAGGCUUUGUGUCUUGAUAGGAGAGAGAGAACAUUUCAGAUGCCUUGAAAGGGCAUCAGGUCACUGAGUCCACGGUUGGUCUUUUGAAUUAUCCAAAUGACUUCAGUCGAUUUUGUGGGCAUAGCUCUUGUAGUGAUUGUGUUGAGAACUGUACCCGAGUCACACAGAGAGGCAAAGUAUAGUCACUGAAGAAAAAAACUGCUUUGGCCUCAAUAAGCAGGUAUCUUCCUGCCAAAGUCAAAACUACCAGCUUAGAAGAGGAAAGAAUACUUGCUUUUGAGUUGUCUGCUUAAAUCACUUUGGAGCUCAAUAAUUAUACAAUUCAGUAUCUUAAACACACACACACACACACACACACACACACACACACAUAUAUAGCCUAGUUCUAGGAAAGGAUGCUACUUCUUGGCGUUGGCACCAGGCCUAUAUGAGGUACAUGUAUUCGGUAAAGUCACUUUGGCAAUAUGACAAGAAAAAUUAAUUCUGCUGUAGGUCAAUAGGAAGCAAACAGACUGUUUACAGCACAGUUUCAGGGAUGCCCUUGCCAGUAGGAUAAUUAUUGAUCUCAGAGGAUUGCCCCAGAAUACCUUGGAAUCGGGCAUGCUAGUUAGAUCAUGUCGUUAGCAAACAGAAAAGUUAGGGCCGUACCGAACUCCAAGGGCCAGUGCUCCAUGCGGCAUCUUGAGGACAAGCGUGUGUGUUACACUGCUCCCGGUCUGGAGGCUUAUCAAGAAUUUCACAGCUCAGAUCUGGAAACCGUUCCCCGUUGGGCCGUUGACAGACCACCAGUCUCGUUCGCAAGCCUCUACCACACAGCUUAGUACACUGCAAGAAGGAAAAGGAGGGCUGGUGUUAUUUUGUCUGAACAGCUGGUGGUAAAUUUUCUUUUCCCAUCGGAAAAAUGUCUUAGCCAAACUCUCUUACGGUAUCAGGCAAGAGAAGUCCGCAGGCAGAAUGAAUUACCAAAAGUAAUACGUACAGCAGACUGGAGCCCUCUGCCUUCAUGGCCGGUACUGUUUACUGAGCAUUUCCCUCUUCACCUAUACUAAGGGCUUUUAGAUAUAUUAACUCAGCAAGAGGAGAGGGUAAUUAUGAGAGGGUAAGUAUUCACUGCAUUUUAUAUAUGGGGCAACUGAGCUUAAGAGGGGUUAACUUGAUCAAGGUCAAUUCAACAGCAAAUGUCAAGGAUAAGAUUACAGUCUUUUCAUUGAGGUAGUCAAAACCACAAAUCAAACAAACAAAAAUCUCAAAACCACUCAGUACCAAAUAAAGGAAAUAACGACUUAGCUGGUUUUAUUUUCUGGCAACCUCUAAGAAGCUGUCACCAACCUCUGGCUGUUCUGUGACUCCAGUCUCCAUAGACCUUUGUGACGUUAAAAUAUUUUACACUAUCUCUGAAUCUGAGGACAACGCUGGUUUUCCCUGAGGAUGAGUAAACAGUGCAGUGGGAACGCUGGAUAAGGUUCUGACUGCUGGCCAGGCCCACACUUCUGAGGCAGGAACAAGCUGUAUUUCUUGGACAGCACUGCUGUGCUCACAUCCAGGAACACUGACAGUUUCCCUGCUGUGUCAAGGCCAGAUCGCCCACAGAAUUUGGAAGGAUCUGGUCCGUGCUGACAGCAAGCAUCCCAGCAAAUGCGUGUACUCUCCUGGUCCCCAUCCAAUUACAGAAGCUUAAGCACAGGCCUUACAGGACAGAUCUUUACGAGGAGUUUUGGGAAACUCACAAUACACAAGUCUCAAAACCUGACUUUCCCUUCCGGCCUUCCAAGCAAAGCCCCCCUAGAAUGACGUAUUAUCAAAGAAAGUCAACAAAACUUUCCGUUAUGACUGCUUAUGACUACUGCAUUACGUGUAUGAAACCAUGAAGUGUGGACGUGCGAUUCUGGUUAGCCAGGAGUGUGGUGGACUAACACACCUCCAUCUCAUUUGUUCCCCCACCUGCCUUGGCACGAAGGUCUCCAAGAUGUUAGUCCUCAUGCUUGAUUUUAUACAUUUUACAGUCAAGACAGAACAACUCAACUAACUUUACAUUUGUGCCCUCUCUGUGAAUUUAAGACUAGAGAAAUAUAUUCUUUGUUAAUUAAACACAAUCAAUAAGCAUCUAAGUCUUACGCAUGAUAAUGGCUCAAAACCCCAUUUAAUAAUAAUAGUUGGGGGGACGGUAUAGCUCAGUGGUAGAGCGCGUGGUUAGCAUGCACGAGGUCCUGGGUUCAUUUCCCGGUAUCUCUAUUAAAUAACUAAAUAAACCUAAUUACACCCCCCCAUAAUAACAGUAAUGCUAACGACUGUCAUUAUUAGAAUAGCAGCUAACUCUGAUUGAAGGCUGUGCGCUAGGUUUUGACAUGCACUAUCUUGUAUAACACACAUGAAUACUGUUAAGUAGUGCCAUUAUUACUCCCAUUUACAGACGAGAAUACAGAAAUCUGGCGAAGUUAUAUUAUUUGUCAAAGCCAGAAGGCUUAUAAGAGCCAGGGCUGGGAGUGGGACCCAGUUUCGUUUUGCUCGAAAUGCUUUCUUGCCUUUCACCCGUCAUAACAGGCAGCUCUUAAAAGGUAACAGCUGAAGAAUUUCAUUUGCGACUAUACAGCUAAUUCUUCACUUCUACGAUUAAAACACAUCACCUUUGACAGGAGUAACAGCUCCUAUUUAUUCUAGUUUCAUUGGGGAUUUGAAAUUUUGGGAAACAUGAUGCCAUGGGAAUAAGGGUGCAUCACAAACUCCUCAGAACUAGGAAGAGGAUGGCAAAAUUUCCAUUGACUGAUUUAACACAUAUUUUCAAUCACUUUAAAAGCGUCCAUGUUUUAGUCAACAGAGGUUAACAACUUAAACUAGCAUUCAUCUGUAUUCUUCCCUAAUUUUUCUCUCCAGUGUAUUCAAGGUGUCUCUAUUCGGUAAUAAAUGCACUUUUAAAAAUAGUGCGGAAUUAAGACAGGUCUCCUAGUUAAUCCGAAAUCGAGAAGGUUUGACGAGAACUAGUUCUUCCUUAAAAUAAACUAUGAACAAUAACACUGUUUGGUGUCUGUUUUUCCCCAAAGGAUGUAGAAGUGGACGGUUCGCUCUCACCUCUCCCCAGUUGCCAUAAGCCCACUGAGGACAAGGGCCAGAUUCACAGGCUCUCUGCUCAUCGGGUUUUAUUCUCUCCACGCAGUCAUUGGCGGUGUAUCCGUUUUCAUCCUGACACACAACCACACGCCGCUGGGACCCACCAGCACAGAUGAGGAAACAGGCUCAGAGAGGAGAGGGGACCUGCUGAAGACCCCAAAAUUUGCAAGAGCAAGUCCUGGGAUCAAACAGAGAGGAGAAGAAAAUGAGAUUCAAGGACUUAAACCAGACUACUCAAGGUCAUGCAGCCAGUUAAUGUCAAGAUCUGGAUUUUUACAUAGCUCUCUUUGAAUCCAUCUCUCACAUUUCAUUCCACAGAUGGUGGCUGGUGUGCACAGGGGGCUGGGUCCCCAGCAUCGCAUGAGGAUUCCCACUUCUCACUCCUGGCAGGGAAGCCAGAGGCGCUGGACUCCAAGGGACCACAGGAUGCAGGAGGCACCCAAAUUUAAGGUAAGAGGCCCUCUCCUUGCUCCCCGACUUCUCCCUACCACUGUGGUCCUCCACAUGCCUAUUACAAUCUAAUGGGACUGGACUC